rnacentral:rRNA from 1 species
AGAGUUUGAUCAUGGCUCAGGACUAACGCUGGCGGCGUGCCUAACACAUGCAAGUCGAACGAGGUAGCAAUACCUAGUGGCAGACGGGUGAGUAACACGUGGUCAACCUUCCGUACAGUGGGGGAUAACUAGCCGAAAGGUUAGCUAAUACCGCAUGACAUCUACGAGCGGCAUCGCUUGUAGCUAAAAGGAGCAAAUCC